GUAUUAAAGGUCCUGCCUGCCCAGUGAACCUGUUUAAACGGCCGCGGUAUACUAACCGUGCAAAGGUAGCGUAAUCACUUGUUCUUUAAUUAAGGACUAGUAUGAACGGCUCUAUGAGGGCCAAACUGUCUCCUAUGACCAAUCAAUGAACCUGAUCUUCCAAUACAAAAGCUGGAAUGACCACAUAAGACGAGAAGACCCUGCGGAGCUUCAAACAAACCCUAAACCACAUACAGCCCAAUUAGGUAUAUACAUAUAAAGCAAUUAGGAAAGUUUUAAGUUGGGGCGACUACGGGGUAAAACAAAACCCCCAUGAAAUAUUAUGCUAGACGGACACGUCUAUAACAAACCCAAAAGACCCAGUACUACUGAUCAACGAACCAAGUUACCCCAGGGAUAACAGCGCUAUCCCCUUUAAGAGUCCUUAUCACCAAGGGGGUUUACGACCUCGAUGUUGGAUCAGGACACCCAGGUGGUGUAGCCGCUACCAAUGGUUCGUUUGUUCAACGAUUAAUAGUCCU
rnacentral:rRNA from 1 species